CUUUUGUUAAUGCCCUGUUUACACCUACCCGAUAGUGGGCCCCGAUGGUGCCCGAUGGCUAAAUCAGCAGCUAUCGUUAUAACAUCGGCAAAUAGCGUGGUUGCAUCGGGAAACACCGUUACUCUUCCCGGGAACAUCGUUAGACAACGGGAAGAAACGGGAAGAAAUGCUCAAUGAUCGGGCAACAACGGGCAACAUCGGCAAAGAACGAACAUGUUUGUUAAUUUUGGGGUAGAAUCGGUUACCAGGUGUUGCUAUGGGCUAAUCGGCUAUAAUCGGCUAUAAUCGGGAAUAGAACGGGAGUACAACGUAAGACAUCGCAAAUCGUUCGGGAAUUUUCCUGGGCACAUCGGCUAUAUUCGUUAAUCUUCCGCGCUUUAUCGUGUUUUAUCGUCUUUAUAUCGGCAACCUCAACACACGAAAGACCCUCGAGAACCCUAGACAAAUAACGAUUGUGAGUGACCAGAUUGUGUUAAGGAAGACCCUCAAUCUGCCACUUGGGUAUAAAUAGGGGGUGAUGGAUGGAUGUCCUACUUUUAUAAUUACAGGGUACUUCGCCCAUUUAGAACCGGCGUUCUAUUAUUAUAAAAUCGCUAUUGUAAUAUAAAUAAAUAUAUAAAUAAAUAUCAGUCUAAACCAGU